CAGUAACACGUGGCUAACCUACCCUUGGGACGGAGACAACCCCGGGAAACUGGGGCUAAUCCCCGGUGGGUGAGGAGGCCUGGAAUGGUUCCUCGCUGAAAGGGCGCUGAAACCAUGCUUUUCGGCGUUGCCCAAGGAUGGGGCCGCGGCCGAUCAGGUUGUAGGUGGGGUAACGGCUCACCAAGCCUUUGACCGGUACGGGCCGCGAGAGCGGGAGCCUGGAGAUGGGCACUGAGACAAGGGCCCAGGCCCUACGGGGUGCAGCAUGCGCGAAAACUCCGCAAUGCGCGAAAGCGUGACGGGGCUAUCCCGAGUGCCGUCCGCUGAGGAUGGCUUUUCCCCGGGUGUAAGGAGCCGUGGGAAUAAGGAGAGGGCAAGCCUGGUGUCAGCCGCCGCGGUAAUACCAGCUCUCCGAGUGGUACGGACGGUCAUUGCGCUUAAAGCGUCCGUAACCGGCUCGGCUAAGUCUCUCGUUAAAUCCAGCGACCUAAUCGUUGGACUGCGGGAGAUACUGUCGGGCUAUGGGGCGGGAGAAGCCGAUGGUAUUCCCGGG
rnacentral:rRNA from 1 species